UAAGCCCAAAAUAUGUCAGUUGAGUUAAACUUUGACCAGCCCAGGUGACUAGUUUAUAGGUCUUGAAACUUUGUGUCAGCAAAGACCACACAGCCCAAAUUCCUGGAGCAUGUCUUGUGUUUGUAUUCAAACAGAACCCUGAAAUGUUUUCUCUCCCUAAGUAUUUCAGACACAUUCUUCUCAUUGGAAACCUUCACGUCUUACACAACUCCCUCUGUAUCUAAACUAUGUUAAAGAUACAUAGAGAAAGGAUGACAUCACGGAGCUGAUUUUGUCCUUUGAGCUCGGUGUUUAGCUAAAGUUGAGCAGUUACAAUGAGUCAUGCAAUCUUGUGACCAGCCGGGCACUUUUCCAAUCAGAGAGACUGUUAAGAUCUUCGACAACAGACCCGUAGUUGUUUGAAGAAGAGUUGUCAACAGUGACCUGGACGCUGGGCGAUACCUGGCUUCUAUGAGUAACAAAAUGAGGGCCUAUUCCUGCUGAAUAACAAAACACCAAUGGUGAGGUAAUACUUAGUAGAGCUGACUCAUUUCCUCACUUACAGAUGAAAGGAAUUGUCCAAGAAAUUACUGUCUCACAGGAGGACGUGGUGAGAAGGAGGCUAUCUGCAAGCCAGCAAGAGUUCUUACAAGAACUGCACCAUGCUGCUGCCCUCAUCUUGGACUUCAGCCUCCAAAUGGCCUGACAAAGAAAUAUUGAGAUGAUUCUGCACAAAAUUCUGGCUAUUUGGAGAUACAAGAGUGUUUAUUUUCUUCUGGAAGGUUCCAGAUAGUUACCUCAGUUCUGCCCUUCAAUUUGCAUAUAAACAUAAAAUGGAGCACUGGACCCCAUAUUCCACAAAAAGGCUCAAUUUAAUUUUCUUUGAAUGAAGGGUGUUUUAUCAAUAAAAUUAAAAUCCCAUUAAAUUCUCUGAUACUUGA